CCGAUUCUGCGGACGGGAUAGGAUGAGGUGGAGAGGCAGCAUCAUGGUAACCAGUUGGUGUCUGCGGAUCAGACUCUGCAUUGGAAAUCUGAUUGUCAAGAAUCUCAUAAUCUUGGAUGGUUUCAACAGAUCUAACAGGAGAAGGUAUUCCAUCCAGGUUAGUGUUAACUAAAGAAAGGAAAAACAAGAAUUUUUUUAGUCAGGAUUUGGCCAGAUGCCGAAAGAAGAAAAGAAGAAAAAUUUAAUAAAAUAAAUAAAAU
rnacentral:lncRNA from 1 species